GUGCACAAUUUUGAUGGGACUAUGCAUAGACUCGUUCGUCCAGCCAAAAUGUAAUAGAAGGGACAUAACUCUAUAGAAGGGACAUAAUAGCCACUGGUGGCACUACGAUCAUGCCCAGAAAUUUCAGCCUCAUUUAGCAAGGGUGGAAACUGGACUUUUAUAGUCAGCUAACAACUCCCUAGCCUUUGGAAGAUGAGGGGCAGUGGGGUAGCACAAUGGUUAAAGUGUUCACUCAUCACACCAUUGACUUAGGUUUGGUUCCUCCCUGUGUGAGUACAAAUGGCUGGACAGCGUUAGAAAUUGGCACUAGUCCUUAAGUCCUUGCCAAAAACUGCCCAAUGGUAAAGGUAUCAUAAGGACUAGUAGACAUUUGUCUUUUUUAAGGGUUUUGCUAUAUGUUAUCAUUAUAAGGACUAGUGGACGAAAACUGUUAGUUUCUAACCCUGCUGGAUUAUUAGUAAUGCUGCAUAAAACCAUACUCACGGAUUCAACUACUGUGGGUGAAGCCUGUUAUUGGUGCUGAGCUGUUACUGACAUUAGUGUCAUAUUAUACAAAGGGGGACAUGAUAUGUUGGUGAAUAGGUAAAAAGUUCUUGUUUAUAUUGCUCAUUUCAGGUAGAUUUUUCCACUUUAAAUUUUUUCAGGUGUUAGUGUUUUUUGUUAAAUUCUUGCCAAAGUCUAAUUCCAGUUAUUAUCCAGGUCACUCAUAAUCUGGUAGGUUGUAUUUUAUCAUGCUACCAAUAUAUUCUGCUUUUCCGAAGGUGCAUUGGAUGGUAUUUCGAGCUUGAAUUAUUUUUAUUAAAACUUGUUAACUUUUAGGAUGACCCCUAGCUGAAUAGAAAAAUAGCUGAUGGCAUUCAAAGGCUAUGUCCAAGUUGGUAACAUGGUUCUUUUCGUUAAAUAAUAUGAAUAGAUAAGAAAAUUCACUGGCAUUUCAUCACAGAAGUAUUAGGGAGUUGUUUUUUAUCAUAAUAUUUAUGGUAUUCUUUUAAUUUACAAAUUAACAAUUCAGUGAUAUGGGUGCAGAAACUUCAUUUUUGUAAGGUCUUCCAUGCCGUGGAACAAAGGUGUUAUAGAGUCUGAGUCUGAGAGUAGGGCUGUGGUGGUCCAGUUUGACAUGAUACGAUAUGUACAGUGACAUCAAAUGUGUUAUAGAGUCUGAGUCUGAGAGUAGGGCUGUGGUGGUCCAGUUUGACAUGAUACGAUAUGUACAGUGACAUCAAAGGUGUUAUAGAGUCUGAGUCUGAGAGUUGGGCUGUGGUGGUCCAGUUUGUCAUGAUACGAUAUGUACAGUGACAUCAAAGGUGUUAUAGAGUCUGAGUCCGAGAGUUGGGCUGUGGUGGUCCAGUUUGUCAUGAUACGACAUGUACAGUGACAUCAAAGGUGUUAUAGAGUCUGAGUCCGAGAGUAGGGCUGUGGUGGUCCAGUUUGUCAUGAUACGAUAUGUACAGUGACAUCAAAGGCAGCCAUCGAGCAAUACUUGAAGCUGGAAAACCUAAAGUCACACACGACUUAAAUACGCCACAGUGGAACACCAGCGUUAUUACAACCACAACAUCUUGACCGAACUUCUGUCACAACACUAAGCUGCCCUAUGAAUGAGGGUCUGAGAGGCCAGUAUUAAACAUGGCACCCAUAUGCAAUUACACAUUUUUCAGGAUGAUGACCAUCCACAGCAGACUCUACGUAUGUUGUUAAACAGUUUUUGUAUUGUUACAAAACAACCAAUGAGUUAAGCAGAUGAUUUUUGUGAGGAUUGUUAAUGUUUGUUAUUCAAUUGUGUAGUGCCAUAUUUACACAGACAUUGAGUAUCAGUGUGUAAGCACAGGAUAUUGUACUUAACAUUAGGUGGUGCUCAUAACUCAUUAGUUAUUUGACAAUGAGUUUUAGAUUUUGAAUGGGGACUAGACUUUCUCAAAUUGACAGCCUCAGCAAGUUUGAUUUAAGUUGUAAACAAACAACUAUGUAUUGUUACUUCAAAUGUUGUCAUAUAUAGUAGUGUUUCAGUACAUGAGUGGCAUUAUUAUAUAAAGGCAAAGUUUGGGUUUCACACAAAGCACAUUUAUGCUAAUUUGGACCUACACUGAAAGUAGACAGCAUGGUCCUUGUUUAAGGCACAAACAAGAACACCUGGUUCUCACACUACAACUUUUGUGUUGUUGUUAGAAUUCUGCCUCCGUGUCAAUAAGUGUGGUCUCGUAGUUGGCAUUUGGGUACUGACUACAAUAAAAGGCUUUCUUGAUGGAUGGUAUUCUUGAUCAAUGGUAUUCAUGAUGCACAGAGAUUUUUUUAGCAUUGAAAUACAUGUAUUGCUCAAACCGUAAUAUGACUUUGUGAGCACUGAUGUUAUGUAUAAUCGUGAAAAUGUCAGUUAUAUGAACUUUAUCAUAUGUUAAUCAAGGUUAAAAAAGACAUAUUUUGUAAAUAUCUUUUUGAAGAAGUAAACAGCUAUUUUACAACACA